rnacentral:rRNA from 1 species
GACAGAGGUGCCGAGCGUUAGGCGGAAUCACUGGGCUUAAAGCGUGUGUAGGCGGGCGGGCAAGUACCUUGUGAAAUCCCACGGCUCAACCGUGGAACGGCUGGGUAUACUGCCUGUCUUGAGCCAACUAGGGGCGAGCGGAACAGACGGUGGAGCGGUGAAAUGCGUAGAUAUCGUCUGGAACGCCAAAGGUGAAAACAGGUAGCUGGGGCUGUGCUGACACUGAGACACGAAAGCCAGGGGAGCAAACGGG